rnacentral:misc_RNA from 1 species
UGGUUCUGGCAUCGAUGAAGAACGCAGCGAAAUGCGAUAAGUAAUGUGAAUUGCAGAAUUCAGUGAAUCAUCGAAUCUUUGAACGCACAUUGCGCCCAUUAGUAUUCUAGUGGGCAUGCCUGUUCGAGCGUCAUUUCAACCCUUAAGCCUAGCUUAGCGUUGGGAGACUACCUAAACCGCAGCUCCUCAAAACCAGUGGCGGAGUCUGUUCGUGCUCUGAGCGUAGUAAUUUACUUUAUCUCGCUUCUGUAAGCCGGGCGGGCGACAGGCAUAAAUCGCACCUCCCUAGGGGGGCGCACUUCUUGCAAUGGUUGACCUCGGAUCAGGUAGGAAUACCCGCUGA